rnacentral:sRNA from 1 species
CCCAGGCUGGGGCUCUUAGGGAGAAAGGAAGCUGCGCUGCGGUCCGCUGGGCGAACCCUGCUCCGCGCGAGAAUUUUUUUGAUGCCUUCUUAUUUGGAGAAAUCUCCAGCUGCUCUGAUGAUAGCCUAAGAAGACUGCAUGCUGCUUCCUCUCGAUGCCAAGCCAGGCCCUCUCACAACUUCGGAUCUCAGUCCUUCAUGGAGACCUGGUCCCAGCAGGAAUGGCAGUGCAGGAAAUUGGCGCCCAGAUGGUUCUUCCAUGUGAAGUUGUCUCGGGCUCUGGGCUGACAAGAGAACACCUGGUAACCAGGUUAGCCCUCUGUCAGCCACCCAGGGCAGGGCAGCAUGGUACGGAUUCAGAGGAGGAAGCUUUUGGCAUCUUGCCUGUGCGUCACAGCUACCGUCUUUCUGCUUGUCACACUCCAGGUCAUGGUUGAGCUGGGGAAGUUUGAAAGGAAGGAGUUGAAAAGUUCCAGUUUGCAAGAUAGACAUACAAAAAUGGAGGAAGCACCUACACAUCUUAAUUCAUUUCUUAAGAAAGAAGGAUUGACCUUCAACAGGAAAAGAAAAUGGGAAUUGGAUAGCUACCCCAUUAUGCUCUGGUGGUCCCCGCUGACGGGGGAGACUGGGAGGUUAGGCCAAUGUGGAGCAGAUGCUUGUUUCUUCACCAUCAACCGGACCUACCUGCAUCAUCACAUGACCAAAGCAUUCCUCUUCUAUGGUACUGACUUUAACAUAGAUAGCUUACCUCUGCCUCGGAAAGCCCAUCAUGACUGGGCUCUUUUUCACGAAGAGUCCCCGAAAAACAAUUAUAAGCUCUUUCAUAAACCAGUGAUCACCUUAUUCAACUACACUGCCACGUUCAGCAGGCAUUCCCACUUGCCACUAACUACCCAAUACUUGGAGAGCAUUGAAGUCCUGAAGUCACUCCGAUACCUAGUUCCUUUGCAGUCCAAAAACAAGCUUAGAAAAAGACUUGCUCCACUGGUGUAUGUACAGUCAGACUGUGACCCACCAUCAGACAGGGAUAGCUAUGUUCGCGAGCUGAUGACUUACAUCAAGGUUGAUUCCUAUGGUGAAUGUUUACGAAACAAAGACCUCCCUCAGCAGCUGAAAAAUCCAGCCUCUAUGGAUGCCGAUGGCUUUUAUAGGAUCAUUGCACAGUAUAAGUUUAUCCUAGCUUUUGAGAAUGCAGUUUGUGAUGACUACAUCACUGAGAAGUUCUGGAGGCCACUGAAACUGGGGGUAGUCCCUGUAUAUUACGGAUCCCCCAGCAUCACAGACUGGCUUCCAAGUAACAAAAGUGCUAUUCUUGUAUCAGAAUUUUCUCACCCCAGGGAACUGGCAAGUUACAUCAGACGACUGGAUUCUGAUGACAGAUUGUAUGAGGCCUAUGUAGAAUGGAAGCUGAAGGGUGAGAUCUCUAACCAGCGACUUCUGACAGCUCUCAGGGAACGGAAAUGGGGAGUGCAAGACGUCAACCAGGACAAUUACAUCGAUGCAUUUGAGUGUAUGGUGUGCACCAAGGUGUGGGAUAAUAUCAGGCUUCAGGAAAAGGUAAGCAAAUCAAAGGUGGGCAUAGAGCCAGCAAGUUGGCCAUCUUGAUGUUCUCUGCUCUCCUGUG